AGGCGUCUAAUUGCAGCCUCCUCCCAAUGUACGCGCUGCGUGACUUUUCUACUUCCUCUCCCUAGAACUCCUUCCAUUCAAACCCUAGAAUUCUAUCUCUUUGUUUCGUCCAAAUCGUUCCAUGGGAUUUCGAAAAAGAAGCUUCGAUCUGGUUCCUUCCAACUCCUCUCGUCCCAAAUUUCAACCCCGAUCUACAGAGAGAUAAAGAGAUGGCGGAUGAGAGAGAGGACGUCGAACUCGUACUUUGCUUGAAGUUCUACCUUCACUUCGUCAAUUGUGGUGAUUUUCGUGUGCAGAUUGUUAUUGAAUAUUCAGAAGAAUGGAGUUUACGGAUGCUUAUAAGCAGACUGGGCCCUGCUGUUUUUCUCCCCAAUGCUCGCUACAUUGCUGCUGCAGUUGAUUAUCGUCUGGUGGUUCGAGACACUCGGUCAUUUAAGUGGGCUCUGAACGCUGCGAAAUUAUAAAAAAAAUCCUCCACUGCAGAAUUGCUCCAUCGAUGGGGAAAGGCGAUAUGGAGCAGCUGACCUUUGAAUUGAACCAUGAUUCUUCCAGUUUGUUGCUUCACCUACGGCAAGAUAAACACUGAGCUACUCAAGGGAAAAACUGAAAUGCUGGAGGAGUAUUUCUGCAUUUAUGUUGAUCCACAAGGGAAUUUGUCCAGGAUUCCUGUCAUACUUGAUCAGAUCGUGUUCCAGAAUUUGUUCUUUGUCCAGGCAAUGAUCUACCAAUCUGUUCAAGAUGCUUCUCAAGUAUAGGCCAGAGGAUAAAGCUGCAAAGGAGGAGCAUAUUCUGAAGAAGGCUCAGCUUGAUCGAGGCUGAAGGAAAGAGUCUAGAGUCCAGCAAUAAAUCCAUAGUUGGGAAAAAGGUGAAGCGGUUCACGAGAGACCUGCUGAAUUGAAAUUGUAUGGUGAUGUUAAUAGUUUUGGAUAGUGCUCAAGAAUCCAUAGUCGACUGCAAGGCCUUACACCAGACUUUGAUGCUUUGGAUGUUGCAAUCAAGAUCGGAAUUAUCUAAACUCUGUAUUUUGAUUUAUCUUGUUAGAAACACAAUUACAGUUUAAUGCUCAGAAUUAUUAAGAAAAAGUAAUGGAGGCUAGUGUACCUAGUACCAACGUAUCAUUCCUGCAUUGAUUCUUUUUUUUUUUGUAAAAAUAAAUGUACUAUUUGCAGCGCGCAUUGUGAAGUAAAGGCUGCAAAUAGUGUUAGAAAUUUAACUUUAAAAUCUCUUUUUUGCAGCGCCCACGUACUGUCAAAAGUUGCAAAAAGCCACUUUUUGCAGCUCGGGUGAACACAAGACGCGUUGCAAUUAACGUCUUUUUGCAGCGUUUGUGUUCGCUGCAAUUAAAUACCCAUUAUUUGCAGCCCUCACAAUUGCAGCGCGCAAUAACGCUGCAAAAAGCCCAAUUUAGGCGCGCUGCAAAUAAGGUUUUUUCUACUAGUGUAUGUAGGAAUCGAACUACAUCCCCUAUGCAUUAGCAUAGUGCUCUACCAGUUGAGCUAAUAGGUUUUCAGUAAACAUUUAAGAGAAAAAUAUAAUUGAUGUAAAUACAUCAUUUUGCAGAUCAAAAGUGAACAAACAAACAUCAACACCAACUAAGCACCAA